rnacentral:rRNA from 1 species
AACGAACGCUGGCGGCAGGCUUAACACAUGCAAGUCGAGCGCCCCGCAAGGGGAGCGGCAGACGGGUGAGUAACGCGUGGGAAUCUACCCAUCUCUACGGAAUAACGCAUGGAAACGUGUGCUAAUACCGUAUACGUCCUUCGGGAGAAAGAUUUAUCGGAGAUGGAUGAGCCGCGUUGGAUUAGCUAGUUGGUGGGGUAAAGGCCUACCAAGGCGACGAUCCAUCGCUGGUCCGAGAGGAUGAGCAGCCACACUGGGACUGAGACACGGCCCAGACUCCUACGGGAGGCAGCAGUGGGGAAUAUUGGACAAUGGGCGCAAGCCUGAUCCAGCCAUGCCGCGUGAGUGAUGAAGGCCCUAGGGUUGUAAAGCUCUUUCACCGGUGAAGACAAUGACGGUAACCGGAGAAGAAGCCCCGGCUAACUUCGUGCCAGCAGCCGCAGUAAGAC